rnacentral:rRNA from 1 species
UACAGAGGUCUCAAGCGUUGUUCGGAUUCAUUGGGCGUAAAGGGUGCGUAGGCGGCGCGGUAAGUCGGGUGUGAAAUCUUGGAGCUUAACUCCGAAACUGCAUUCGAUACUGCCGUGCUUGAGGACUGGAGAGGAGACUGGAAUUUACGGUGUAGCGGUGAAAUGCGUAGAUAUCGUAAGGAACACCAGUGGCGAAGGCGACUUCCUGGCCUGUUCUUGACGCUGAGGCGCGAAAGCUAGGGUAGCAAACGGG